UUUGACCUCAAAUCAGGUAGGACUACCCGCUGAACUUAAGCAUAUCAAUAAGCGGAGGAAAAGAAACUAACAAGGAUUCCCCUAGUAACUGCGAGUG
rnacentral:rRNA from 1 species